rnacentral:lncRNA from 1 species
UUUUUAGUAGAGACAGGGUUUCACCAUGUUGGCUAGGCUGGUCUUGAACUCCUGACCUCAGGUGAUCUGCCCACCUUGGCCUCCCAAAGUGCUGGAUUACAGGUGUGAGCCACAGUGCCGAACUCUAAUUUUUGUAUUUUUAGUAAAGACAGGGUUUCACGAUAUUGGCCAGACUGGUCUCAAACUCCUGACCUGAAGUGAUCCACCCACCUCAGCUUCCCAAAGUGCUAGGAUUACAGGUGUGAGCCAGAGCACCUGGCCCACAAAAGUUUUUUUUGUAAAGGUAAAAUAGGAUUUAAAACUGUAAAGUGCUUAGCACACUGCCAGAUCACCUGUAAACUGGAGCUGCAGAGUUGAAGCGAAGUGGAAAAUCAUGAUGGAUGAUUUAUCUCAACAUCAACACAGAGCAGAUGUGGCCCUAAAAUUACACUCUCCUAAUGGCAUGGUCUUCCAAACAUCUAUAAACAAAAAUGAAGGAGGAAACAAACCAAAUGGCUUUUGGUGGAAUAGUAUUAUGUCCCUUUCUGGACAUAGUGCCAAACUUUUUAUGAAGGUCUUCAGUACUAAUACUUUUGAGAAAAAGAAAAAUGUCAAAUCAAAUCACAUAGAUCUUGUUCAUGUAUUUCCAUGUACUGUAAUCUUUCUACACAUAUGACAGUAACUAGUGGCACAUGGCAAUGAUGAAUGUAAACAGGGUGCUUAAGGAAGAACAAGAUGACCAUCAUCCUCACACUGUUUUGGGCUAACGUUAUUUUAUAAAAUAUUUUCUUUUCUUUUCUUUCUUUUUUUUUUUUUUUGAGAUGGAGUCUCCCUCUGUUGCCCAGGCUGGAGUGCAGUGGGGCAAUCUUGGCUCAUUGUAACUUCUGCCUUCUGGGUUCAAGUGAUUCUUCUGUCUCAGCCUCCCGAGUAGCUGGGAUUAUAGGUGCGCACCACCAUGCCUGGCUAAUUUUUCUAUUUUUAGUAGAGAUGGGGUUUCACUAUGUUGGCCAGGCUGGUUUCGAAUUCCUGACCUCAAGUGAUCCACCUGCCUCAGCCUCCCAAAGUGCUGGGAUUACUGCGCUUGGUCAAGAUUUGAUUUUCUAUAAAUCUUUUUUUUUUUUUUUAGUGAUGGAGUCUUGCUCUGUCGCCAGGUUGUAGUGCAGUGGUGCGAUCUUGGCUCACUGCAACCUCCGCCUCCUGGGUUCAAGCAAUUCUUGUGCCUCAGCCCCCUGAAUAGCUGGGAUUACAGGCAUGCGCCACCACACCCAGCUAAUUUUUGUAUUUUUAUUAGAGAUGGGUUUCACGAUGUUGGCCAGGAUGGUCUUGAUCUCCUGACCUUGUGAUCCACCCGCCUCAGCCUCCCAAGGUGUUGGGAUUACAGGCAUGAGCCACCACGUCCGGCCAAUCUUUUUUUUGUAAGUAGUUUUUUUCCUCCUGGUUAUUAAGAGAACACAUAUCUUACUGAAUUAUAGAUAUAUUCUACUCUGAAUGCACAAGUCUUGCACUCUCUCCUGCCCCAAGAUAUUCAUUGUUAAGUUUGCUGUACAUGCUCCUAGUUUUUCCAGGAGUACAUACAAUGAAACAAACAUUGUAUUGGGAUCAUACUAUAAUACUGUCUUCAACUUUUUUUUUUUUUGAGACAGAGUCUCUGUCACCCAGGCUGGAGUGCAGUGGCUCGAUCUCAGCUCACUGCAACCUCCACCUCCUGGGUUGAAGUGAUUCCCGUGCCUCAGCCUCCCGAGCAGCUGGGAUUACAGGCAUGUGCCACCACACACAGCUAAUUUUUGAAUUUUUAUUAGAGACAGGGUUUCACCAUGUUGAUCAGGAUGGUCUCAAUCUCCUGAACUCGUGAUUCACCCACCUCAGCCUCCUAAGGUGUUGGGAUUACAGGCGUGAGGCACUGCGUCCGGCCAAUCUUUUUUUUUUUAAGUAGUUUUUUUCCUCCUGGUUAUCAAGAGAACACAUAUCUUACUGAAUUACAGAUAUAUACUACUCUGAAUGCACAAGUCUUAUACUUUCUCCUGCCCCAAGAUAUUCAUUUUAAAGUUUGCUGUACAUGCUCCUACUUUUCCCAGGAGUACAUACAGUGAAAUAAACAUUGUAUGGGAUCAUACAGUAAUAUUGUCUUCAGCUUUUUUUUGAGACAGUCUGUCUCUGUCACCCAGGCUGGAGUA